AAACACGGACCAAGGAGUCUAUCAAGUGCGCGAGUCAAAGGGCUUUACUAAACCCUAAGGCGAAGCGAAAGCGAACCGUCGCGGGCGCGCGCUCGCGCGCCUYUCGGGGCGCGCGCUCCCGUUUGCGCGAUCGACGGAGGGAGGAUGGAUUGCCGCGGGGGCGAGCCGAGACGGUCAUUGGCAGUCGUCGGAGCUCGUACAGAGUAUUCCCCGUCCCGCACUCCCGGGGUGCCGUUCGCGGCGUACCUAGAGCGCACACGAUGUGACCCGAAAGAUGGUGAACUAUGCCUGGUCAGGACGAAGCCAGGGGAAACCCUGGUGGAGGUCCGAAGGGAUUCUGACGUGCAAAUCGAUCCCGUGAUCUGGGUAUAGGGGCGAAAGACUAAUCGAACCAUCUAGUAGCUGGUUCCUUUCCGA
rnacentral:rRNA from 1 species